GGAUCUUCCACAAUGGACGAAAGUCUGAUGGAGCAAUGCCGCGUGAGCGAAGAAGGUUUUCGGAUCGUAAAGCUCUGUUGUAAGGGAAGAACACGUAAGGGAGUAACUGCCCGUAUCCUGCCGGUAACUGAUUAGAAACACACGGCUAACUACGCGCCUGCAGCCGCGGUAAUACGUAGGUGGCAAGCGUUGUCCGGAAUUAUUGGGGGUAAAGCGCGCGCAGGCGGCCUUUUAAGUCUGAUGUGAAAGCCCCCGGCUCAACCGGGGAAGGUCAUUGGAAACUGAUAGGCUUGAGUACAGAAGAGGAAAGCGGAAUUCCACGUGUAGCGGUGAAAUGCGUAGAGAUGUGGAGGAACACCAGUGGCGAAGGCGGCUCUUUGGUCUGUAACUGACGCUGAGGCGCGAAAGCGUGGGGAGCAAACA
rnacentral:rRNA from 1 species